rnacentral:sRNA from 1 species
GAGGUGUGCGAACUGGUGGCAGUGAGAGACUCCGGCGGACAUGGCUCCCAGCGUGCCAGCGGCAGAACCCGAGUAUCCUAAAGGCAUCCGGGCCGUGCUGCUGGGGCCUCCCGGGGCCGGUAAAGGGACCCAGGCACCCAGAUUGGCUGAAAACUUCUGUGUCUGCCAUUUAGCUACUGGGGACAUGCUGAGGGCCAUGGUGGCUUCUGGCUCAGAGCUAGGAAAAAAGCUGAAGGCAACUAUGGAUGCUGGGAAACUGGUAGGUUUGGUGGUACCAAUGAGUGUUGAUAUUCCUCAGAAUCUAGAUCUGCACUGUCCAAUAUGGUAGCCACCAGCCACAGGUGGCUAUUUAGAUUAAUUUAAUUAAUGUAAAAAUCAGUUCCUCAGUUGCACUAGCCAUAUUUCAAGUAUUUACCAGCCAACGCUGAUACAGAACUUUCCAUCAUCAAACAAAAUUCUGUUGAACAACCAUGUGCUAGAGGGUGUUUUAACAAACUGGCAGAUUAUAGGAAAUUUUUUUUUUUUUUUUUUGACAAAGUCUCACUCUGUCGCCCAGGCUGGAGUGCAGUGGCGUAAUCUU